UCCAGACUCCUACGGGAGGCAGCAGUGGGGGAUAUUGCACAAUGGGGGGGGACCCUGAUGCAGCGACGCCGCGUGGGUGAAGGAGCGUUUCGGCGCGUAAAGCCCUAUCGGCAGGGAAGAAGGAGGACGGUACCUGACUAAGAAGCCCCGGCUAACUACGUGCCAGCAGCCGCGGUAAUACGUAGGGGGCAAGCGUUAUCCGGAUUUACUGGGUGUAAAGGGGGCGCAGACGGCUGUGCAAGCCAGAUGUGAAAGCCCGGGGCUCAACCCCGGGACUGCAUUUGGAACUGUGUGGCUGGAGUGUCGGAGAGGCAGGCGGAAUUCCUAGUGUAGCGGUGAAAUGCGUAGAUAUUAGGAGGAACACCAGUGGCGAAGGCGGCCUGCUGGACGAUGACUGACGUUGAGGCUCGAAAGCGUGGGGAGCAAACAGGAUUAGAUACCCUCGUAU
rnacentral:rRNA from 1 species